GCUUCUAUGGUGUAGUGGUUAGCACAGUGGACUUUAGAUCCACCAGACAUCAGUUCGAAUCUGGUUAGAAGUG
rfam:Spironucleus salmonicida unplaced genomic scaffold scf7180000020687, whole genome shotgun sequence.